CUAUUGCAGUCGAGCGACAGAUGAGAAGCUUGCUUCUCUGAUGUUAGCGGCGGACGGGUGAGUAACACGUGGAUAACCUACCUAUAAGACUGGGAUAACUUCGGGAAACCGGAGCUAAUACCGGAUAAUAUAUUGAACCGCAUGGUUCAAUAGUGAAAGAUGGUCUUGCUAUCACUUAUAGAUGGAUCCGCGCUGCAUUAGCUAGUUGGUAAGGUAACGGCUUACCAAGGCAACGAUGCAUAGCCGACCUGAGAGGGUGAUCGGCCACACUGGAACUGAGACACGGUCCAGACUCCUACGGGAGGCAGCAGUAGGGAAUCUUCCGCAAUGGGCGAAAGCCUGACGGAGCAACGCCGCGUGAGUGAUGAAGGUCUUCGGAUCGUAAAACUCUGUUAUUAGGGAAGAACAUAUGUGUAAGUAACUGUGCACAUCUUGACGGUACCUAAUCAGAAAGCCACGGCUAACUACGUGCCAGCAGCCGCGGUAAUACGUAGGUGGCAAGCGUUAUCCGGAAUUAUUGGGCGUAAAGCGCGCGUAGGCGGUUUUUUAAGUCUGAUGUGAAAGCCCACGGCUCAACCGUGGAGGGUCAUUGGAAACUGGAAAACUUGAGUGCAGAAGAGGAAAGUGGAAUUCCAUGUGUAGCGGUGAAAUGCGCAGAGAUAUGGAGGAACACCAGUGGCGAAGGCGACUUUCUGGUCUGUAACUGACGCUGAUGUGCGAAAGCGUGGGGAUCAAACAGGAUUAGAUACCCUGGUAGUCCACGCCGUAAACGAUGAGUGCUAAGUGUUGGGGUUUCCGCCCCUUAGUGCUGCAGCUAACGCAUUAAGCACUCCGCCUGGGGAGUACGACGCAAGGUUGAAACUCAAAGGAAUUGACGGGGACCCGCACAAGCGGUGGAGCAUGUGGUUUAAUUCGAAGCAACGCGAAACCUUACCAAAUCUUGACAUCCUUUGACAACUCUAGAGAUAGAGCUCCCCUUCGGGGGACAAAGUGACGGUGCAUCGUCAGCUCUGUCGAGAUGUUGGGAGUCCCCAGAGCACAAGCAUU
rnacentral:rRNA from 1 species